rnacentral:rRNA from 1 species
CAGAACGAACGCUGGCGGCAGGCUUAACACAUGCAAGUCGAGCGCCCCGCAAGGGGAGCGGCAGACGGGUGAGUAACGCGUGGGAACAUACCCUUUGGUUCGGAAUAACUCAGGGAAACUUGAGCUAAUACCGGAUACGUCCGUAAGGAGAAAGAUUUAUCGCCAAAGGAUUGGCCCGCGUCCGAUUAGCUAGUUGGUGAGGUAACGGCUCACCAAGGCUACGAUCGGUAGCUGGUCUGAGAGGAUGAUCAGCCACAUUGGGACUGAGACACGGCCCAAACUCCUACGGGAGGCAGCAGUGGGAAUAUUGGACAAUGGGCGCAAGCCUGAUCCAGCCAUGCCGCGUGAGUGAUGAAGGCCUUAGGGUUGUAAAGCUCUUUUGUCCGGGAAGAUAAUGACUGUACCGGAAGAAUAAGCCCCGGCUAACUUCGUG